GGUGAACAUGCGGAAGGAUCAUUG
rnacentral:rRNA from 1 species